UACGAAGGGGCUAGCGUUGCUCGGAAUCACUGGGCGUAAAGCGCACGUAGGCGGAUUGCUAAGUCAGGGUGAAAUCCUGGAGCUCAACUCCAGAACUGCCCUUGAUACUGGCGGUCUCGAGUCCGGGAGAGGUGAGUGGAACUGCGAGUGUAGAGGUGAAAUUCGUAGAUAUUCGCGAAGAACACCAGUCGGCGAACGGCGGCUCACUGGCCCGAGUACUGACGCUGAGGCACGAAAGCGUGGGAGCAA
rnacentral:rRNA from 1 species